GCCCAGAUAGCUCAGUCGGUAGAGCAGGGGAUUGAAAAUCCUCAUGACACUUUUAAUACCACAGCUCUGGAUAGCA
rnacentral:tRNA from 1 species